UAAAAAAAGGUAAGCUACUAAGAGCGAAUGGUGGAUGCCUUGACUGGUAAAGGCGAUGAAGGACGUACUAGACUGCGAUAAGCUACGGGGAGCUGUCAAGAAGCUUUGAUCCGUAGAUUUCCGAAUGGGGCAACCCAAUGUAUAGAGAUAUACAUUACCUAUAUAGGAGCGAACGAGGGGAAUUGAAACAUCUUAGUACCCUCAGGAAAAGAAAUCAAUAGAGAUUGCGUCAGUAGCGGCGAGCGAAAGCGCAAGAGGGCAAACCCAGUGCUUGCACUGGGGGUUGUAGGACUGCAAUGUGCAAGAGGUAAGUUUAGCAGAACAUUCUGGAAAGUAUAACCAUAGAGGGUGAUAGUCCCGUAUGCGAAAAACAAACCUUAGCUAGCAGUAUCCUGAGUAGGGCGGGACACGAGGAAUCCUGUCUGAAUCUGGGUCGACCACGAUCCAACCCUAAAUACUAAUACCAGAUCGAUAGUGCACAAGUACCGUGAGGGAAAGGUGAAAAGAACUGAGGUGAUCAGAGUGAAAUAGAACCUGAAACCAUUUGCUUACAAUCAUUCAGAGCCCUAUGUAGCAAUACAGGGUGAUGGACUGCCUUUUGCAUAAUGAGCCUGCGAGUUGUGGUGUCUGGCAAGGUUAAGCAAACGCGAAGCCGUAGCGAAAGCGAGUCUGAAUAGGGCGCUUAGUCAGAUGCUGCAGACCCGAAACGAAGUGAUCUAUCCAUGAGCAAGUUGAAGCUAGUGUAAGAACUAGUGGAGGACUGAACCCAUAGGCGUUGAAAAGCCCCGGGAUGACUUGUGGAUAGGGGUGAAAGGCCAAUCAAACUUCGUGAUAGCUGGUUCUCUCCGAAAUAUAUUUAGGUAUAGCGUUGUGUCGUAAUAUAAGGGGGUAGAGCACUGAAUGGGCUAGGGCAUACACCAAUGUACCAAACCCUAUCAAACUCCGAAUACCUUAUAUGUAAUCACAGCAGUCAGGCGGCGAGUGAUAAAAUCCGUCGUCAAGAGGGAAACAACCCAG
rnacentral:rRNA from 1 species